CGUAGGGUGCGAGCGUUAAUCGGAAUUACUGGGCGUAAAGCGUGCGCAGGCGGUUUGUUAAGAUAGGCGUGAAAUCCCCGGGCUCAACCUGGGAACUGCGCUUAUGACUGGCAAGCUAGAGUACGGCAGAGGGGGGUGGAAUUCCACGUGUAGCAGUGAAAUGCGUAGAGAUGUGGAGGAACACCAAUGGCGAAGGCAGCCCCCUGGGUCGAUACUGACGCUCAUGCACGAAAGCGUGGGUAGCAAACAGGAUUAGGUACCCUGGUAGUCCACGCCCUAAACGAUGUCAACUAGGUGUUGGAUGGGUAAAACCAUUUAGUACCGGAGCUAACGCGUGAAGUUGACCGCCUGGGGAGUACGGCCGCAAGGUUA
rnacentral:rRNA from 1 species